rnacentral:rRNA from 1 species
UACGUAGGGGGCAAGCGUUGUCCGGAUUUACUGGGCGUAAAGAGCGCGUAGGCGGAAGCUUAAGUGUGGCCUGAAAGCCCCCGGCUCAACCGGGGAAGGUGGCUGCAAACUGGGCUUCUUGAGGGGGAUAGGGGAAAGUGGAAUUCCGGGUGUAGCGGUGAAAUGCGUAGAGAUCCGGAGGAACACCAGUGGCGAAGGCGGCUUUCUGGGUCCGCCCUGACGCUGAGGCGCGAAAGCGUGGGGAGCGAACAGG